GACAAGGGGCAGAGGCAGAGAGAGAGAGAGGAGCCACCCUGAGAAGGAAGAGACCAGGUGGACUCUGAGACAGGGAGACCCUUUCUACGUCAGUGCCUUGACGUGUGACUUUUUUGUCACUUCGUGCUCCAGGAUCACCCCCGGAUGAACUAUCACUUUCAAAUGACCUUGUCUUUUCUCGGGCCUUCCGAACUGAUCAUCUCUUCCUUCUGAUACAAGAGGAUCUUCCCUGGAAGACCACUGCACACCUUCUAGUAACACUGGGACCCUGGAUAAUAUUCUACUUUGAAGAACACCAGUAGACAGAAGCAAGAUGAUUAAUUUUUAAUGCUAAAGUAUGCAAAACCUGCCACUUCACUGGCAAUCCAUGAAUUAUUCAUAAAUAUAGACUUCGUUAAUAUCUUUAAAAA
rnacentral:lncRNA from 1 species